rnacentral:rRNA from 1 species
CAUGCAGUCGAGCGGUAGAGAGAAGCUUGCUUCUCUUGAGAGCGGCGGACGGGUGAGUAAUACCUAGGAAUCUGCCUGAUAGUGGGGGAUAACGUUCGGAAACGGACGCUAAUACCGCAUACGUCCUACGGGAGAAAGCAGGGGACCUUCGGGCCUUGCGCUAUCAGAUGAGCCUAGGUCGGAUUAGCUAGUUGGUGGGGUAAUGGCUCACCAAGGCGACGAUCCGUAACUGGUCUGAGAGGAUGAUCAGUCACACUGGAACUGAGACACGGUCCAGACUCCUACGGGAGGCAGCAGUGGGGAAUAUUGGACAAUGGGCGAAAGCCUGAUCCAGCCAUGCCGCGUGUGUGAAGAAGGUCUUCGGAUUGUAAAGCACUUUAAGUUGGGAGGAAGGGCCAUUACCUAAUACGUGAUGGUUUUGACGUUACCGACAGAAUAAGCACCGGCUAACUCU